UACAGAGGGUGCGAGCGUUGUUCGGAAUUACUGGGCGUAAAGGGCUCGUAGGCGGCCAACUAAGUCAGACGUGAAAUCCCUCGGCUUAACCGGGGAACUGCGUCUGAUACUGGUUGGCUUGAGUGUGGGAGAGGGAUGCGGAAUUCCAGGUGUAGCGGUGAAAUGCGUAGAUAUUUGGAGGAACACCGGUGGCGAAGGCGGCAUCCUGGACCAUUACUGACGCUGAGGAGCGAAAGCCAGGGGAGCAAACGGG
rnacentral:rRNA from 1 species